rnacentral:rRNA from 1 species
GGAAGUAAAAGUCGUAACAAGGUUUCCGUAGGUGAACCUUGCGGAAGGAUCAUUAGUGAAUAUAGGACGUCCAACUUAACUUGGAGUCCGAACUCUCACUUUCUAACCCUGUGCAUUUGUUUGGGAUAGUAACUCUCGCAAGAGGGCGAACUCCUAUUCACUUAUAAACACAAAGUCUAUGAAUGUAUUAAAUUUUAUAACAAAAUAAAACUUUCAACAACGGAUCUCUUGGCUCUCGCAUCGAUGAAGAACGCAGCGAAAUGCGAUAAGUAAUGUGAAUUGCAGAAUUCAGUGAAUCAUCGAAUCUUUGAACGCACCUUGCGCUCCAUGGUAUUCCGUGGAGCAUGCCUGUUUGAGUGUCAUGAAUACUUCAACCCUCCUCUUUCUUAAUGAUUGAAGAGGUGUUUGGUUUCUGAGCGCUGCUGGCCUUUAGGGUCUAGCUCGUUCGUAAUGCAUUAGCAUCCGCAAUCGAACUUCGGAUUGACUUGGCGUAAUAGACUAUUCGCUGAGGAAUUCUAGUCUUCGGACUAGAGCCGGGUUGGGUUAAAGGAAGCUUCUAAUCAGAAUGUCUACAUUUUAAGAUUAGAUCUCAAAUCAGGUAGGACUACCCGCUGAACUUAAGCAUAUCAAUAAGCGGAGGA